ACCUGGGAAACCCCAAGAAACACUGGCAGUCUACACUCUGUCACCUGCAGCAGUCAUCCCCAGCGCCGGAGACUGAUAACUGGGUGACCACUUGCCGGAGAGACUCUCUGAGUUUGUCAUCCCUUCAGAAUGUGUGGCUUUAAAUAAAG